rnacentral:tRNA from 1 species
UGGCGCUCAAAGGUAAGUAAAGGGAGUUUGAUAUGUCUGUUUCACGUCGGGUAAUACAUCACGGACUUUAUUUUGCG